rnacentral:rRNA from 1 species
GACCCGACUGCUAUCGGAUAGAGAUUAAGCCAUGCUAGUUGAACAUUUCUUAACUAUGUGAGAAGUGUAGCGUACUGCUCAGUAACACGUGGUCAACCUGCCCUAGAGACGUGUAUAACCCCGGGAAACUGGGACUAAUACGCGAUAAGUCAUAUUUUCUGGAAUGGUUUAUGAUAUAAAGGAUUUUUCAAACAUGUUUGAUUUAUUGCUUUAGGAUGGGACUGCGGCCGAUCAGGUUGUUGGUGGGGUAAUGGCCCACCAAGCCUAAUACCGGUACGGGCUUUGAGAGAAGUAGCCCGGAGAUGGACCCUGAGACACAGGUCCAGGCCCUACGGGGCGCAGCAGGCGCGAAAACUUCGCAAUGCGCGCAAGCGUGACGAGGCUAAUCCGAGUGUUACCUGCUGAAGGUAACUUUUGUUAAGUUUAAUUCGCUUAAAGAAAAAAGGGAGGGAAAGUCUGGUGUCAGCCGCCGCGGUAAUACCAGCUCCCUGAGUGGUCGGGACGAUUAUUGGGCCUAAAGCAUCCGUAGCCUGUUCUGUAGGUCUUAUGUUAAAACCAAUUGCUUAACAAUUGGACUGCAUGAGAUACCACAAAACUAGGAGGCGGGAGAGGUGGACGGUACUCCACGGGUAGUGGUAAAAUGCUCUGAUCCGUGGAAGACCACCAGUGGCGAAGGCGGUCCACCAGAACGCGCUCGACGGUGAGGGAUGAAAGCUGGGGUAGCGAACCGGAUUAGAUACCCGGGUAGUCCCAGCUGUAAACGAUGCAAGCUAGGUGAUGGAUUAGCCACGUGUUAAUCCAGUGCCACAGGGAAGCCGUUAAGCUCGCCGCCUGGGGAGUACGAUCGCAAGAUUGAAACUUAAAGGAAUUGGCGGGGGAGCACCACAAGGGGUGAAGCCUGCGGUUCAAUUGGAUUCAACGC